GUUUGAUGUGGCACUUUGUGUGACAGCAAUGACGUUUUAAUAGUUUUCAGUGAAUAUGUGAGGAAUUUAUUGUCAAUUUUCUUGAGGCACAUUCUAGUGGAAAGAGGUUGUGAGCAGAAUACUUGAGGACACAUAAACAUUUUAUAUACCGAUACAAAGAAGGUAUUUGGAGCCGCAUCCACUACACACAACAAU